GCGUCAAUCAACAAUGGGGUCAAGCCUUUUGCCUCGUUGCACCCUUGAAAGCAAGAUGGGUCAUCAACAGCUCUAUUGGAGCCAUCCGCGAAAAUUUGGCCAGGGUUCUCGCUCUUGCCGCGUGUGUUCAAACCGGCACGGUCUGAUCCGGAAAUACGGCCUCAACAUGUGCCGGCAGUGUUUCCGUCAGUACGCGAAGGAUAUAGGCUUCAUUAAGUUGGACUAAGUGAUCUUCCUUGAAUGGAUUACCCAAGACAGCCAUCCAGUGAAGGAGAACAUGCUCACUCUUUGU
rnacentral:lncRNA from 1 species